rnacentral:rRNA from 1 species
CUGCGGAAGGAUCAUUAUCGUACAACCGAGGCACAUGGGCUGUCGCUGACUUUUCGUCGUGCACGCCCAAGUGCUCUCAACCAUCCAUUUCACCCCUAUGUGCACCACCGCGUGGGUCCCCUUUCGGCUCGUCCCGAGGGGGGCUCGCGUUUUCACACAAACUCGAUGCAGUGUAGAAUGUCUCUUUGCGAUAACACGCAAUUAAUACAACUUUCAACAACGGAUCUCUUGGCUCUCGCAUCGAUGAAGAACGCAGCGAAAUGCGAUACGUAAUGUGAAUUGCAGAAUUCAGUGAAUCAUCGAAUCUUUGAACGCACCUUGCGCCCCUUGGCAUUCCGAGGGGCACACCCGUUUGAGUGUCGUGAAAUUCUCAAAAACCUUUCUUUUGUGAAAGGGUUUUGGACUUGGAGGCUUUUUGCUGGCUUCACCUUGAAGCGAGCUCCUCCCAAAUGAAUNAGUGGGGUCUGCUUUGCCGAUCCUUGACGUGAUAAGAUGUUACUACGUCUCGGGUUCGGCGAUGUCUCUUGGGCACCUGCUUCUAACCGUCUCAUCGACAAUGAUGGCGUUCCGGUCACCACCGUUUCGACGGUCGGGAGGCUUGACCCACCAAAAAAACCUUGACCUCAAAUCGGGUGAGACUACCCGCUGAACUUAAGCAUAUCAAUAAGCGGAGGAAAAGAAACUAACAAGGAUUCCCCUAGUAACUGCGAGUGAAGCGGGAAAAGCUCAAAAUUUAAANUUCUGGUGGCC